rnacentral:lncRNA from 1 species
AAGUGGGAAGAGGAAAAAACAUCUGGUGAUAGUCUAGGGUCAUCAGCUAUGCAUGGGUCAGGGAGAAAAGGAAGAAAUGGGAGCAAGAGAGUGGGCCAUCUCCACAACCAAGGAGAAGAGAAUGACCAGAAAAAGGGAACUCCUGCAGAGACACCAGGCUACUGAGAAAGACCUACAGAUUGAGACAAGGGCCUUUUAACUUUUAACUUUGACUUGAUAAGUUUCAGGAAAAUAUGAGGGUUAGAGCUAAGGGAGUCCUACCAUGUUCCAGCAUGCAAAACGGUGCCUGGCAUAGGUGGGUGUUUCAUAGACAUUUUGAAUGUGUGGAUAAAUGAAUGGAUAGAUGAAUGGAUGGAUGGAUAAAUGGAAGUCUGAAUGGAUACAAAGAGUGGUCUGAGACAUCAGGGAAGGUUUCUUGAAUAUGGUGGGAUUGCAUUAUGUCUCCGUGGGUAGAAAAGCAAGUAGGAGAGUCUCCAUGUGGAGGUUCCUUAAGUCAGGCAUGACCCAGUGUCUGUGGGUCCAGGGAAGAAACUGUCAGGGCUGGACAAUUGGGAAUUUGUGAAAGGAGAUUCAUAAGUUCUAAAAUGAGGCCAG